UACGUAGGGGGCUAGCGUUGUCCGGAUUUAUUGGGCGUAAAGAGUGUGUAGGCGGCCAGGUAGGUCCGGUGUGAAAACUCGAGGCUUAACCUCGAGAUGUCAUCGGAAACCAUCUGGCUAGAGUCCGGAAGAGGAAAGUGGAAUUCCUGGUGUAGCGGUGAAAUGCGUAGAUAUUGGGAGGAACACCAGUGGCGAAGGCGGCUCACUGGACCGGAACUGACGCUGAGGCGCGAAAGCGUGGGGAGCAAACAGG
rnacentral:rRNA from 1 species